GACGAACGCUGGCGGCGUGCUUAACACAUGCAAGUCGAGCGGAAAGGCCACUUCGGUGGUACUCGAGCGGCGAACGGGUGAGUAACACGUGAGUAAUCUGCCCUUGGCUUUGGGGUAGCCACCGGAAACGGUGAUUAAUACCGGAUAUGACCACUUCUCGCAGGGGAGGGGGGUGGAAAGUUUUUCGGCCAGGGAUGUGCUCGCGGCCGAUCAGCUUGAUGGUGGGGUAAGGGCUAACCAUGGCUUCGACGGGUAGCCGGCCUGAGAGGGUGGCCGGUCACACUGGGACUGAGACACGGCCCAGACUCCUACGGGAGGCAGCAGUGGGGAAUAUUGGACAAUGGGCGGAAGCCUGAUCCAGCAACGCCGCGUGAGGGAUGACGGCCUUCGGGUUGUAAACCUCUUUCAGCAGGGAUGAAAAUGACAGUACCUGCAGAAGAAGCCCCGGCUAACUACGUGCCAGCCGCCGCGGUAAUAC
rnacentral:rRNA from 1 species